rnacentral:hammerhead_ribozyme from 1 species
AUUCAGCUGACGAGUCUCAAAUUGGGUGAAACUCGCGUCCUGAAC